CUCCGUCCCUUUCAGACCAGAUGGGUCACCGGCUGUUGAAAAAGAAUCAAAACCUCUGAAAAGGAAAUACAUGUACGUGGUUGAAAACUCAAAAGGCACCAAAAGUGAUACGGUGACAAAUACUUUCUACCUCGCCUGGCUUGUCCCCUGAAGUCACCGCAAAGCUGAGCUGAGCACUGGGGAUUUGAGGAGAAGUGCUAAAGGCCCGCAUGAGGACCGGUGGGGUCUGGGGCACCAAAUGCUGUCAGUCUCCCCUCCCACGCCCUAGGAGCUUGGAAGCCUUGCAGGCCUGCAGGGCCCUCGGCAUCAGCCUAGCCUGCUCGGGAUUCCCAGCGCACAAGGCUCCACACCUUCCCUCUACCACCUGUUACACGGUUGGCAAGUCUUUCUUGAUGCCUCGCUCCACUUCCUUCUACUCCAGGUUGUGUGUUUUCUCUUUCCUGGACGACUGAGAGCUUUCUGAGGGCGGGGCUCAAUUCCUGCCCCAGGAUCUGCCCCGGCACCUGGGGCAGCACCCGUUCAAGGGCAGAUGGCCCAGUGCUGCCUAGGAACAGGCUGACAAGCUGGGCAGCCUGGCAGUCCUCCCCCGGUCUCAGGCUCCCUGAGCCGAGGGGAGGAAGGAGGCUGCUGUCUUUAAAGACGACGUGAUGGACAGUUAUUGAAGGCGCUCAGCUGGGGCUCUACUCUAGUCUUAAUCUGAGCCGCCCUCAAGGAAAUCAUAACCAGCUCUUAAAAACAUGUUAAGACCAAAGCUGGUGUGUGUGUUUGAGCAGAGCUUCAGACAGCUACUUAACACUGGGGGCCUCCAGGCCUUUGAUUCCUCUACCCCUCGCUUUGCCCUCUCCCCCCAUCUGGCUGGUGUUUAUCGGCCAAGACGUUGUUUAAAUCACACUCGCUUCCUAUAAACAUUUCACUUGAAAUGCCAUCCGCUGCUCCAGAAAUUCAUCUAUCACCAGCUCGGGGGUGUACUUGAGAAGCCUCGGGGCGAUGACUCCCCAUUCUCUCUCUCCUGUCCCCCCAUCAUCCCUCCUCCCCUGACCCAUAUGCUCAGGUUUCACACUGUAAGAACAACUUCCCCUCCGUGUAACAGGGCACUUAGUGCCAGGAUUAUUUAUAACAGCUGAGGUGGCAACAGGCUGUGGGGAGCGGCCCGGCCCGUGGAUGCCUCCGCUUGCAAAGCU